GGUUCCUGUCCAACGUUAAUCGGGGCAGGGUGAGUCGACCCCUAAGGCGAGGCCGAAAGGCGUAGUCGAUGGGAAACGGGUUAAUAUUCCCGUACUUGGUGUUACUGCGAAGGGGGGACGGAGAAGGCUAUGUUGGCCGGGCGACGGUUGUCCCGGUUUAAGCGUGUAGGUGUGUGUUCCAGGUAAAUCCGGUUCACUUUAACACUGAGGCGUGACGACGAGGCACUACGGUGCUGAAGCAACAAAUGCCCUGCUUCCAGGAAAAGCCUCUAAGCAUCAGGUAACAUCAAAUCGUACCCCAAACCGACACAGGUGGUCAGGUAGAGAAUACCAAGGCGCUUGAGAGAACUCGGGUGAAGGAACUAGGCAAAAUGGUGCCGUAACUUCGGGAGAAGGCACGCUGACACGUAGGUGAAGUGAUUUACUCAUGGAGCUGAAGUCAGUCGAAGAUACCAGCUGGCUGCAACUGUUUAUUAAAAACACAGCACUGUGCAAACACGAAAGUGGACGUAUACGGUGUGACGCCUGCCCGGUGCCGGAAGGUUAAUUGAUGGGGUCAGCGCAAGCGAAGCUCCUGAUCGAAGCCCCGGUAAACGGCGGCCGUAACUAUAACGGUCCUAAGGUAGCGAAAUUCCUUGUCGGGUAAGUUCCGACCUGCACGAAUGGCGUAAUGAUGGCCAGGCUGUCUCCACCCGAGACUCAGUGAAAUUGAACUCGCUGUGAAGAUGCAGUGUACCCGCGGCAAGACGGAAAGACCCCGUGAACCUUUACUAUAGCUUGACACUGAACAUUGAGCCUUGAUGUGUAGGAUAGGUGGGAGGCUUUGAAGUGUGGACGCCAGUCUGCAUGGAGCCGACCUUGAAAUACCACCCUUUAAUGUUUGAUGUUCUAACGUGGACCCGUUACCCGGGUUGCGGACAGUGUCUGGUGGGUAGUUUGACUGGGGCGGUCUCCUCCUAAAGAGUAACGGAGGAGCACGAAGGUUGGCUAAUCCUGGUCGGACAUCAGGAGGUUAGUGCAAUGGCAUAAGCCAGCUUGACUGCGAGCGUGACGGCGCGAGCAGGUGCGAAAGCAGGUCAUAGUGAUCCGGUGGUUCUGAAUGGAAGGGCCAUCGCUCAACGGAUAAAAGGUACUCCGGGGAUAACAGGCUGAUACCGCCCAAGAGUUCAUAUCGACGGCGGUGUUUGGCACCUCGAUGUCGGCUCAUCACAUCCUGGGGCUGAAGUAGGUCCCAAGGGUAUGGCUGUUCGCCAUUUAAAGUGGUACGCGAGCUGGGUUUAGAACGUCGUGAGACAGUUCGGUCCCUAUCUGCCGUGGGCGCUGGAGAACUGAGGGGGGCUGCUCCUAGUACGAGAGGACCGGAGUGGACGCAUCACUGGUGUUCGGGUUGUCAUGCCAAUGGCACUGCCCGGUAGCUAAAUGCGGAAGAGAUAAGUGCUGAAAGCAUCUAAGCACGAAACUUGCCCCGAG
rnacentral:rRNA from 1 species